rnacentral:rRNA from 1 species
UAGCCGUAAACGAUACUCGCUAGGUGUCGGCCACGGUGCGACCGUUGUCGGUGCCGUAGGGAAGCCGUGAAGCGAGCCACCUGGGAAGUACGGCCGCAAGGCUGAAACUUAAAGGAAUUGGCGGGGGAGCACCGCAACGGGAGGAGCGUGCGGUUCAAUUGGAUUCAACGCCGAAAAACUCACCAGGAGCGACGGAUAUAUGAAGGUCAAGCUGAUGACUUUACCUGAUUUCCGUAGAGGAGGUGCAUGGCGUGUGACUGU